AUUGAACGCUGGCGGCAUGCCUUACACAUGCAAGUCGAACGGUAACAGGCCGCAAGGUGCUGACGAGUGGCGAACGGGUGAGUAAUGCAUCGGAACGUGCCCAGUAGUGGGGGAUAGCCCGGCGAAAGCCGGAUUAAUACCGCAUACGACCUGAGGGUGAAAGGGGGGGAUCGCAAGACCUCUCGCUAUUGGAGCGGCCGAUGUCAGAUUAGCUAGUUGGUGGGGUAAAGGCCUACCAAGGCAACGAUCUGUAGUUGGUCUGAGAGGACGACCAGCCACACUGGGACUGAGACACGGCCCAGACUCCUACGGGAGGCAGCAGUGGGGAAUUUGGACAAUGGGCGCAAGCCUGAUCCAGCAAUGCCGCGUGCAGGAA
rnacentral:rRNA from 1 species